rnacentral:rRNA from 1 species
UGGGGAAUAUUGCACAAUGGGGGCAACCCUGAUGCAGCGACGCCGCGUGAGCGAUGAAGCCCUUCGGGGCGUAAAGCUCUUUCGACCGGAACGAUAAUGACGGUACCGGGAGAAGAAGCUGCGGCUAACUACGUGCCAGCAGCCGCGGUAAUACGUAGGCAGCAAGCGUUGUUCGGAGUUACUGGGCGUAAAGAGUGCGUAGGCGGUUUUCUAAGUUCGGUGUGAAAUCUCCCGGCUUAACUGGGAGGGUGCGCCGAAGACUGGGAAGCUGGAGUGUGGGAAAGGCAGGCGGAAUUCCUGGUGUAGCGGUGAAAUGCGUAGAUAUCAGGAGGAACACCGGCGGUGUAGACGGCUUGCUAGACCAUAACUGACGCUGAGGCACGAAAGCGUGGGUAGCAAACA